AUUGAACGCUGGCGGAAUGCUUUACACAUGCAAGUCGAACGGUAGAGGGGGCAACCCCUCGAGAGUGGCGAACGGGUGAGUAAUAUAUCGGAACGUGCCCAGUCGUGGGGGAUAACGUAGCGAAAGUUACGCUAAUACCGCAUACGAACUAAGGAUGAAAGCGGGGGAUCGCAAGACCUGGCGCGAUUGGAGCGGCCGAUAUCAGAUUAGGUAGUUGGUGGGGUAAAGGCUCACCAAGCCAACGAACUGUAGCUGGUCUGAGAGGACGACCAGCCACACUGGAACUGAGACACGGUCCAGACUCCUACGGGAGGCAGCAGUGGGGAAUUUUGGACAAUGGACGCAAGUCUGAUCCAGCCAUUCCGCGUGCAGGAUGAAGGCCCUCGGGUUGUAAACUGCUUUUGUACGGACGAAAAGGUCUCUCUUAAUACGGGGGACUCAUGACGGUACCGUAAGAAUAAGCACCGGCUAACUGCGUGCCAGCCGCCGCCGUAAGAC
rnacentral:rRNA from 1 species